rnacentral:rRNA from 1 species
GACGAACGCUGGCGGCGUGCUUAACACAUGCAAGUCGAGGGCGCGUUGGGGGUAACGUCUGGCGUGACCGGCGAACGGGUGCGUAACACGUGAGCGACCUGCCGAUCGGAGGGGAUAGCCGGCCCAACGGCCGGGUAACACCGCGUACGCUCGCCCGGGGGCAUCCCGGGGCGAGGAGACCUCCGGGGCCGAUCGAGGGGCUCGCGGCCUAUCAGCUAGUUGGGGGA